ensembl:lncRNA
AUGUCCAGUCACCACCGAUGCUGUGGAGACCGCCAGUUUGACCAGCAAAGCCACUGCUGCUGCUCUGAACCACUGUCCCCAGAGCCUCACAAUGCAAGCUGCUGUGCAUCAUCAAGUUAUAAUAGUGGAAUUGAUGUGAGUUCUCCAAACUGUAUGCCAGGGGAGAGGCCCUGUGGUCGAGGUGUUAACCCAAAAACAGAGGGUUGCUGUGUGAACCCUCCAUCUUUCCUGGUGCAACCUUACUCCCACCACCCGAACUCUGCGGGAACACGCCGCCACAACCCAGGUGUCUACAAUGGUGCAAGCUGUGGCUCUCAGGUUUACAAUCCAGACAUCAAGAUCUGCUGUGCCGGGAAGCUGUCCAAUAGGGUGCUCGGAAAAAACCUGUGCUGCGGUACAACUCCCUAUGCUGUAGAGGAACGACGGGGGCUGUGCUGUAACCAGACGUUGCACCGUUGGGUGGAGGCUGGGCACCAGUGCUCCCCAGGUGGCCACUUGUAUCUGCCAUCCCGUGAAAUGGUGUGUGAGUCACGCGUUCAUCUCAACAAUCCAGGCAAACACUGCUGUGGAAAAGAGACCUUCUACCCUGAGAAUGAAAUCUGCUGCAGUGGACACAAACACCGCACAUUGGGGAACAUGUCCUGCUGCGGAGGGAAGGCCUACGACCCCAGCAGUGGCCAGAUGAAGUGCUGUGCAGAGACUCUGUACAACCUGCAGGUUCAGGACAGGCUCUCCGAGGAGGCCCAAUGCUGUGGGAAUGUCCUGAUGGAGGCCGGCUCCACCCAGACCUGCUGCUCUGCCCCAGGGCUAGACCUGCUCUACCCUACCCAGCCAGGGUUCACCUGCUGUGGGCACCGCUACCCCAAUUCCUCCCUGUGGUCUUGCUGUGCGGGGGUCCUGCACCCAAGGACUGAACGAAACACCACCAGCAUGAACAUGAUUCCAGGACCCAGGCUUCUACCACUGGGGGAUUUGAAGAAGGAAGAUCUAUGUUACACCGAAGUUUUGCUAGGGACAGUGGAGAGUGUGUCUGUGAAUAAGAAUAAGCGAUCCAUCGUGAUGGUGAACGUCAUGUCCAUGCAGGCCUGCCGUGGCCAUGUCAACGCUCUGCCUUCCCCUCAAUACCUCACAUUACCCGACCACUGCAGCUCUCCUGAAUUGGUGCCGGGCAACACUUACCUCUGGGUGAAAACAAGACAUUUCUCAGACACCAUAAACGUAAUCUCUGAUCUCAGCGACCAUUCCUCCCCUCUCCAUUCCAUCCUCUUCAGGUGCUCAAAAUGAUACAUUUAACCAUGUUGAGGGUAUACAGUGUUUCUUUAUAAAUAAUGGCACAAAAAAAGCAGUAACAUUUUACUUGACACCCAGUGACACAGUCAUAACCAUUUCAUAAUAUGUCAUAACAGCUGACAACCUGUCAUAACGUUUAUGAUAUGGUCAUAACACUGUCAUGACAUAUAUUUAAACUUGUUGUGACAUAUAUUGAGUUAUUUUAUAGCUGGUUAUGACACCUACAUAAGAGCGUAAAAACACAGAAAACCUACUACGGUAGUUAUUUUAUGGCUUAUGACACCUACAUAAGAGCGUAAAAACACAGAAAACCUACUACGGUAGUUAUUUUAUGGCUUAUGACACCUACAUAAGAGUGUAAAAACACAGAAAACCUACUACGGUAGUUAUUUUAUGGCUUAUGACACCUACAUAAGAGCGUAAAAACACAGAAAACCUACUACGGUAGUUAUUUUAUGGCUUAUGACACCUACAUAAGAGCGUAAAAACACAGAAAACCUACUACGGUAGUUAUUUUAUGGCUUAUGACACCUACAUAAGAGUGUAAAAACACACAAAACCUACCACACAGGGCAAAACAUUCCAUUACACCAUAGCCUACAUGUCAACAGUAUGUUUAUGCUAAUAUAUAUAUAUAUAUAUAUAUAUAUAUAUAUAUAUAUAUAUGUAUAUAUAUAUAUAUAUAUAUAUAUACACACACACAUAUAUAUGCACACACUGUACAUCUUUUUUUAUUUGACCAUAUUAAAUUAUCAUUGUGGUUACGCACACAUUGAUGACACACGUGCCCAUACCCCAAUGCUCUGUUGCUGAUAACUGGGAUGAUUUCAAGAGCAGGACAAGGCACCCUCUUUUUGAAUGAUAUAAGGGCAUGUACGUGAUAAGUGUAUGUACGUGAUAAGUGUAUCUGGCUUAUAUAAUUAUGAUGGUCAUAAUGCUUCUUGACAUUGUCAUAAAGUGUAUUUUCUUAGUCCAAGUAAAGUGACAGGAUGGCCAUCAAGCUUCAUGACAGUGUCCUAAAAGUGCAUUUUCUUAAAGUUAUUUAAAAUAUGAAAAAAAACGUGACUGUAAAGAAUUCAUAACAACAACAGAUGUAAGAAACAAACGUUCAAACCAAAGGAAAUUACACUCUUAUUUAGGUGUCAUUAUCAGCCAUAAAAUAACGCAAUCUACUGUAUGCCACAACAGGUAUAAAUGUAUUGGUCAUGACAGUGUUAUUACCAUAUGACACUGGGUGUCAAGUAAAAUGUUAGCAAAAAGCUUAUAUUUUUGGUUCUGAUGGGGUAGGACAAUUGAACUAAGCGAAUGAGACAGACGUUAUAUUCUUCAAGAAACAAUUUGUAUGUCAUUCAUUUAAAAGUCCAAAAAUGUAUGUAUAGUAGCUAUCACAGAUUGCCCCUUUAAGCUAUGAAUAGAUGUUUAAGUUAUUUUUAUUUGCUUACAAAAAUCGACCACCGUUUAUGGUCUCUCAGGAGUCAUAUCUCAGGAUAAGCCAUAUUUUAUGAUGUUUGUCUGGGUGGUGUUUUCUGUUAUGACAAAAGUUCCUUUAAUGUUAAUGCAAUUGUCUUCGAUUCCCUCCUUCAAUUCCAUACUGAAGCUAUUUCUUAAUUGAAAGUUAACUUGUUCUACGUAACACUAACAUCGUAGGAGUAAACCUGUCUGUGAAGUGAUAUGUUGUGGUGGUGGUGGUGGUGGUGGGGGGGGGGGGCAGCAGGUCGUUACAUGCUCGCCCACUCCUACAAGUUGCCUCUGAGACUCGUUCCACCAAUGCAAUAACACCCCAGGGCACUGUGCCAAUGAGCAGAGUAUGUUAAUGAAUAAAGUAUUGUGAAACUCUAUGUAGAAAUGAGACGGAAUGCUUAUUAUGUAGUUGAUAACCGUUUGGUUCAUCACAUCUGACUGAAUCUGAGGUGACCUCAGACAGAAGAGACGUUGCCUGAAAAAGGAAGUUUGGUCGCCAUGCUUUUCCUCAGGGUACACCUUUACACAAUGAGGUUGAAGUCCGUGGGGCCGGAGUUGAAGCCCAUCAAAGUAGUUUCACCAUGGCACAUGAUCGGUAAGUGUCCCAAUUCAAAUCUUGCCCUGAUAAGUUGUUUUGUAAUGGUUAUUUUUUUAUUUUGUUGUUUUUGCACAGCAGAACUCAUUACUAUAGACGGUGUGUUUGUCAGUAUUCUUACUAAUAUGAAAAGCUGCAUACUGUAUUACAUAGAUACUUUGAAGAAUAAAGUAAUCUUCUCUCUAACACUUUAAAUGUUAGGGGUGGACCCCUCAAGACCUUAGGUGUUUUAUUACAUUACUUCUAGUUGUAAAUUGUACAUUAUUGUAAAUAACCUAAAUGUUGUACUAAUGUUUUUACAUUUGUAUAAUGUGUUUUCUUGCAGACAUUGACUGUGUGAAAGUAAGUUGUUAGUUGUUAGUAAGUUGGUUUGUAAGUAUAUAGCACAUGUAUUGUAUUGCAGGUAUCGUUUAUAAGCAUGUACAUCAUUUUAUAUUUUUCCAUUUGUAUAUUGUCUGUGAGUUGAAUGAGUCUGCUUUCUGGUAAAUAUUUGAAACUUGCUCAAAUUGGAUGUGAAUGUUCACAUUUGCAUAGUAAAUGUAUUUAUUGCAUGUCAAAUUUUAAAUUGACUGAAAUGAACUGCUCAGUUGCCCACUUCCUUACUGGUUCUUAUCCCUUCUCCCUAGCCAUUACUCUUUUGUGUCCAAUUCCAAAUCAAACUAGGUCAGGGUUGGUUUGGAAUUGGACAUUGGUUUCUAGUUAGGGUUUACAUAUCUGGAGGUUCUAGAUUUGUGUAAGUAAUAUGACAGAAGUGUCCCGGAGCCCAUUACACAGCAGGUUGGAGACACAUUGAAAAAAAUAAGGGCUUAAUUAAACUUUGAUGUGGUGAGAGAGCUUUUUAACUAAACCAGGUCCAUGUUAUUGAAAAUUAAGUAACCUUUGUUUUUGCUUUUUCAUCCUGCCUCCUCCCCUCUUCCCUUUAGUCUGCUUUUGGUCUCCAGGGGUUCUGCCAUGUUCCAAAACGGAGGCGACAAGACGAUAACCAGCUUCAGUAAAAUUUAAGCCCCUCUUCCAAGACUAGCUGCCUGUCAAGGACAAGUCACAGCAAGAACUAGCCGCAGCACCUCCGGUCUUUUUCUCUCCUCUCCCUCCAGAUGAAAUCCUGCAUCUAGUGACGUCUGAUUGCCCAACAAUCUGCCCACUCAUCACAUCCUCCCUUCUCCAUCCCGGUAGACCUCCUCCCAUUCCUUGCCACCCUCAUCAAACCCUCUGUCAAAGGUAUCCUUUGUUUCUUUUCUAUUACUGCCAUUAACCUUAUAGCAUUUCUAAUCAAACAUUUAAUUUCAAUUAAAUCAAUCAAUAACUGUAUUUUUACAUACCUGAUCUACCUGUAACCUGUGUGUUUACUUGUUUACGUCUCUGUCUCCUCCCCUGUUCCCUUUAACUCUGAUCCUGUUCUCCAUGAGCUACAGUAAGGGUUUCUGCCUAACUCCCAGACGUGGAUCCACCUAAUGUCCUCUGUUACCAACCACCCUCCCAACUUUUCAUCACAUCAUCUACAGCAACUGUUGUCAUUAUCUGCUAAGAAAGUUUGCUUGCCGUAUCAUACUGAGCACAUUUGUGAGAUGCACAGAUGAACUGAAAAAACUAGCACUGCAAACACUCUGAACAAAGAGCUGCAAUGCCUGGACUUCGCAGUCUCCCUCUUCAAGUCCCCCUUCCAAGACAAGUCCCCCUUCCACCCACACAGUACCCAGCUCCUCUCUAUUCCACACACCAGAAUUCAGUAUUUCAGUCUAUGAUUGCCAAGUGAGUGUACUAAAAAUAUUUGAAAAUGAAUUGACAAAUCUUAAAUCUUGCCAGGUUGGUUUUCACAGCUGUUUCAUUGUUCUAAAUUGUAACAUAUCCCUUGAUGGAAUUUUAGUUCAACAUUAUUCAUUGUUGUAUUCUAGGACCUACAGUAGGUACAUAUAUUAAACCACAUACAGUUGAAGUCAAAAGUUUACAUACACUUAGGUUGGAGUCAUUAGAACUCCAUUUUCAACCACUCCACAAAUUUCUUGUUAACAAAAUAUAGUUUUGGCAAGUCGGUUAAGACAUCUACUUUGUGCAUGAUUGUCACGUCCUGACCAUAGUAACUUGUUAUUUUCUAUGGUAGAGUAGGUCAGGGCGUGACAGGGGGAUUUUCUAGUUUAGUUUUUCUAUGUUGUUAUGUUCUAGUUUUGCAUUUCUAUGUUGGGUUGUUUUAGUUUUUGUAUUUCUAUGUUGGGCUUUGUUUGAGAUGAUCUCCAAUUAGAGGCAGCAGGUCAUCAUUGUCUCUAAUUGGAGGUCAUAGUUAAGUUGGUGUUUGUCCCACCUGGGUUUGUGGGAGAUUAUUUUUGAGUAGUGUAUGUUUCACCUCUGUGUCACGGUUUGUUGUUUUUGUCAUUCUGUUUAUUUAUGUAUUGCUUAGUUUCACAGUGUAAAUAAAAUGUGGAAUGACACACACGCUG